rnacentral:rRNA from 1 species
UCUAGCCAUGGGCAGGUUGAAGGUUGGGUAACACUAACUGGAGGACCGAACCGACUAAUGUUGAAAAAUUAGCGGAUGACCUGUGGCUGGGGGUGAAAGGCCAAUCAAACCGGGAGAUAGCUGGUUCUCCCCGAAAGCUAUUUAGGUAGCGCCUCGUGAAUUCAUCUCCGGGGGUAGAGCACUGUUUCGGCUAGGGGGCCAUCCCGGCUUACCAACCCGAUGCAAACUGCGAAUACCGGAGAAUGUUAUCACGGGAGACACACGGCGGGUGCUAACGUCCGUCGUGAAGAGGGAAACAACCCAGACCGCCAGCUAAGGUCCCAAAGUCAUGGUUAAGUGGGAAACGAUGUGGGAAGGCCCAGACAGCCAGGAUGUUGGCUUAGAAGCAGCCAUCAUUUAAAGAAAGCGUAAUAGCUCACUGGUCGAGUCGGCCUGCGCGGAAGAUGUAACGGGGCUAAACCAUGCACCGAAGCUGCGGCAGCGACACUGUGUGUUGUUGGGUAGGGGAGCGUUCUGUAAGCCUGUGAAGGUGUGUCGUGAGGCAUGCUGGAGGUAUCAGAAGUGCGAAUGCUGACAUAAGUAACGAUAAAGCGGGUGAAAAGCCCGCUCGCCGGAAGACCAAGGGUUCCUGUCCAACGUUAAUCGGGGCAGGGUGAGUCGACCCCUAAGGCGAGGCCGAAAGGCGUAGUCGAUGGGAAACGGGUUAAUAUUCCCGUACUUGGUGUUACUGCGAAGGGGGGACGGAGAAGGCUAUGUUGGCCGGGCGACGGUUGUCCCGGUUUAAGCGUGUAGGUGUGUGUUCCAGGUAAAUCCGGUUCACUUUAACACUGAGGCGUGACGACGAGGCACUACGGUGCUGAAGCAACAAAUGCCCUGCUUCCAGGAAAAGCCUCUAAGCAUCAGGUAACAUCAAAUCGUACCCCAAACCGACACAGGUGGUCAGGUAGAGAAUACCAAGGCGCUUGAGAGAACUCGGGUGAAGGAACUAGGCAAAAUGGUGCCGUAACUUCGGGAGAAGGCACGCUGACACGUAGGUGAAGUGAUUUACUCAUGGAGCUGAAGUCAGUCGAAGAUACCAGCUGGCUGCAACUGUUUAUUAAAAACACAGCACUGUGCAAACACGAAAGUGGACGUAUACGGUGUGACGCCUGCCCGGUGCCGGAAGGUUAAUUGAUGGGGUCAGCGCAAGCGAAGCUCCUGAUCGAAGCCCCGGUAAACGGCGGCCGUAACUAUAACGGUCCUAAGGUAGCGAAAUUCCUUGUCGGGUAAGUUCCGACCUGCACGAAUGGCGUAAUGAUGGCCAGGCUGUCUCCACCCGAGACUCAGUGAAAUUGAACUCGCUGUGAAGAUGCAGUGUACCCGCGGCAAGACGGAAAGACCCCGUGAACCUUUACUAUAGCUUGACACUGAACAUUGAGCCUUGAUGUGUAGGAUAGGUGGGAGGCUUUGAAGUGUGGACGCCAGUCUGCAUGGAGCCGACCUUGAAAUACCACCCUUUAAUGUUUGAUGUUCUAACGUGGACCCGUUACCCGGGUUGCGGACAGUGUCUGGUGGGUAGUUUGACUGGGGCGGUCUCCUCCUAAAGAGUAACGGAGGAGCACGAAGGUUGGCUAAUCCUGGUCGGACAUCAGGAGGUUAGUGCAAUGGCAUAAGCCAGCUUGACUGCGAGCGUGACGGCGCGAGCAGGUGCGAAAGCAGGUCAUAGUGAUCCGGUGGUUCUGAAUGGAAGGGCCAUCGCUCAACGGAUAAAAGGUACUCCGGGGAUAACAGGCUGAUACCGCCCAAGAGUUCAUAUCGACGGCGGUGUUUGGCACCUCGAUGUCGGCUCAUCACAUCCUGGGGCUGAAGUAGGUCCCAAGGGUAUGGCUGUUCGCCAUUUAAAGUGGUACGCGAGCUGGGUUUAGAACGUCGUGAGACAGUUCGGUCCCUAUCUGCCGUGGGCGCUGGAGAACUGAGGGGGGCUGCUCCUAGUACGAGAGGACCGGAGUGGACGCAUCACUGGUGUUCGGGUUGUCAUGCCAAUGGCACUGCCCGGUAGCUAAAUGCGGAAGAGAUAAGUGCUGAAAGCAUCUAAGCACGAAACUUGCCCCGAG